rnacentral:lncRNA from 1 species
UCAAGUUGAAUGAUCAGCAUCAAGAGAUAUAGUUGGAGAUAGGGAUGUUUAAAUAUGUAAAGAGAUAACUUGUACCGAAAGGUAGUAGAUUUCCUUGUAACUGAUUAGGAUUAGAUCGAAUCGAAUCUAUAACCCUACCCCCCAGGCUAUAUAAGGGUGGCAGGGACCCCCCUCAAAAACACAAGCCAUAUUCGAUACGUUAUACACUGAGAAUACAACCCUGAGCACAAGACGUAGGGUAUUACACCAAUCUAGUGGCCCGAACCUGGUAAAGUCCCCUGUGUCCUUGUGUUCAUCCAUCUACCUCUAGGUGCGGCGAUCCCCUCCGCACAAUCAACCA